CCUACGGGUGGCUGCAGUGAGGAAUAUUGGUCAAUGGACGAGAGUCUGAACCAGCAAAGUAGCGUGAAGGAUGACUGCCCUAUGGGUUGUAAACUGCUUUUAUAUGGGAAUAAAAUGUUCCACGUGUGGGAUUUUGUAUGUACCAUAUGAAUAAGGAUCGGCUAACUCCGUGCCAGCAGCCGCGGUAAUACGGAGGAUCCGAGCGUUAUCCGGAUUUAUUGGGUUUAAAGGGAGCGUAGGUGGAGUGUUAAGUCAGUUGUGAAAGUUUGUGGCUUAACCGUAAAAUUGCAGUUGAAACUGGCAGUCUUGAGUACAGUAGAGGUGGGCGGAAUUCGUGGUGUAGCGGUGAAAUGCGUAGAUAUCACGAAGAACUCCGAUUGCGAAGGCAGUUCACUGGACUGCAACUGACACUGAGGCUCGAAAGUGUGGGUAUCAAACAGGAUUAGAUACCCGUGUAGUC
rnacentral:rRNA from 1 species